rnacentral:rRNA from 1 species
GAUGAACGCUGGCGGCGUGCCUAAUACAUGCAAGUCGAGCGAACGGACGAGAAGCUUGCUUCUCUGAUGUUAGCGGCGGACGGGUGAGUAACACGUGGAUAACCACCCUAUAAGACUGGGUUAACUUCGGGAAACCGGAGCUAAUACCGGAUAAUAUUUUGAACCGCAUGGUUAAAAAGUGAAAGACGGUCUUGCUGUCACUUAUAGAUGGAUCCGCGCUGCAUUAGCUAGUUGGUAAGGUAACGGCUUACCAAGGCAACGAUGCAUAGCCGACCUGAGAGGGUGAUCGGCCACACUGGAACUGAGACACGGUCCAGACUCCUACGGGAGGCAGCAGUAGGGAAUCUUCCGCAAUGGGCGAAAGCCUGACGGAGCAACGCCGCGUGAGUGAUGAAGGUCUUCGGAUCGUAAAACUCUGUUAUUAGGGAAGAACAUAUGUGUAAGUAACUGUGCACAUCUUGACGGUACCUAAUCAGAAAGCCACGGCUAACUACGUG